rnacentral:rRNA from 1 species
UACGUAGGGUGCGAGCGUUAAUCGGAAUUACUGGGCGUAAAGCGUGCGCAGGCGGUUUUGUAAGCCAGAUGUGAAAUCCCCGGGCUCAACCUGGGAAUGGGCAUUUGGGACUUGGCAAGGCUGGAGUGUGGCAGAGGAGACGUGGAAUUCCUGGUGUAGCAGUGAAAUGCGUAGAUAUCAGGAGGAAUACCGAUGGCGAAGGCAGGUCUCUGGGCUGAACACUGACGCUCAUGCACGAAAG